AGAUGAGGAAGUUGCUGAGUUUGUGAAAUACAUCCAGAGACACACAAAUGAUAUCAAAUGGGGAGGUGCGUUUCAGGAUGGGGCCGGUUCUACAGUUGGAGAAGAGGUGGAGCAAGUAAACAGUUUCCUGUCUAGGGCGGCCAUCACAACGAAGUACAUGUCUAAAGCAGGUGUGUGUCUGUGUGUGAGAUUCCACUCAGUCUCCUGCUCAUUCAUUCUUAUUUGUAUACUAACUGAAAUGCAGGGCGAACAGACAUGCUGAGCCUCCUGGCUUUGGGCUGGAACAAAAGGAAAGUGGAACAACUGGGCUGCACUUUGAGCCAGAGAUAUCUAAAGAUCAUAAGGAUCCUUAGAGAACAAGUGGAGAGCCUGAAUGCGAGCAGAAAUGAGCUGGGUGUGGAUGACGACACACUGCAGCA